GUGGGGAAUUUUGGACAAUGGGGGCAACCCUGAUCCAGCCAUCCCGCGUGUGCGAUGAAGGCCUUCGGGUUGUAAAGCACUUUUGGCAGGAAAGAAAUCGCACGGGAUAAUACCUCGUGUGGAUGACGGUACCUGCAGAAUAAGCACCGGCUAACUACGUGCCAGCAGCCGCGGUAAUACGUAGGGUGCAAGCGUUAAUCGGAAUUACUGGGCGUAAAGCGUGCGCAGGCGGUUCGGAAAGAAAGAUGUGAAAUCCCAGGGCUUAACCUUGGAACUGCAUUUUUAACUACCGGGCUAGAGUGUGUCAGAGGGGGGUGGAAUUCCGCGUGUAGCAGUGAAAUGCGUAGAUAUGCGGAGGAACACCGAUGGCGAAGGCAGCCCCCUGGGAUAACACUGACGCUCAUGCACGAAAGCGUGGGGAGCAAACAGGAUUAGAAACCCGGGUAGUCC
rnacentral:rRNA from 1 species